rnacentral:rRNA from 1 species
AAUCAACGCUGGCGGCGUGCCUAACACAUGCAAGUCGAACGAGAAAGUGGAGCAAUCCAUGAGUACAGUGGCGACCGGGUGAGUAACACGUGACUAACCUACCCUCGAGUGGGGGAUAACUCCGGGAAACCGGGGCUAAUACCGCAUAACAUCGCUUGGUGAAAUUCCUUGUGAUCAAAGGAGCAAUUCGUUUGAGGAGGGAGUCGCGUCUGAUUAGCUAGUUGGUGAGGUAACGGCCCACCAAGGCGAUGAUCAGUUGCCGGCCUGGUAGGGCGCACGGCCACACUGGAACUGAAACACGGUCCAGACGCCUCCGGGAGGCAGCAGUGGGGAAUUUUGCGCAAUGGGGGAAACCCUGACGCAGCAACGCCGCGUGGAGGAUGAAGUCCUUUGGGAUGUAAACUCCUUUCGACCGGGAAGAUUAUGACGGUACCGGAGGAAGAAGCACCGGCUAACUCUGUGCCAGCCGCCGCGGUAAGAC